GGCGGCGGCGCUGUCUGGCGUAGACCCUCUUGGGCCAUGGUGGUGGUGGCACCCGCGCAGAGCUCGGCCGCCGGGGCCCCCAAAGUGCUGCUUUUGUCCGGCAAGCCCGCCGCCGCCACCGCCGCCGCCGCCGGAGCCCCGGCCGGCCGGGCUCUGCCACUCAUGGUGCCGGGCCAACGAGGGGCCAGCCCGGAGGCGGCGAGCGGGGGCCCACCCCAGGCGCGCAAGCGACAGCGCCUCACGCACCUGAGCCCCGAGGAGAAGGCGCUGCGGAGGAAACUGAAAAACAGAGUCGCAGCCCAGACUGCUAGAGACCGAAAGAAAGCUCGAAUGAGUGAGCUGGAACAGCAAGUGGUAGAUUUGGAGGAAGAGAACCAAAAACUUUUGCUAGAAAAUCAGCUUUUGCGAGAGAAAACCCAUGGCCUUGUAGUUGAGAACCAGGAGUUAAGACAGCGCUUGGGGAUGGAUGCCCUGGUUACUGAAGAGGAGGCUGAGACCCAGACCAAGGGGAAUGGAGCGAGGCCAGUGGCCGGGUCUGCUGAGUCCGCAGCACUCAGACUACGUGCACCUCUGCAGCAGGUGCAGGCCCAGUUGUCACCCCUCCAGAACAUCUCCCCAUGGAUUCUGACAGCGUUGACUCUUCAGACUCUGAGUCUGAUAUCCUGUUGGGCAUUCUGUUCAACUUGGAUCCAGUCAUGUUCUUCAGAUGUCCUUCCCCAGAGUCUCCCAGCCUGGAGCAGCUCCCAGAAGUACACCCAGAAGGACCCAAUUCCUUACCAGCCUCCCCUUCUCCAUCACUGGGGACGUCAUCAGCCAAGCUGGAAGCCAUUAAUGAACUGAUUCGGUUUGACCACGUAUAUACCAAGCCCCUAGUCUUAGAGAUACCCUCUGAGACAGAGAGCCAAGCUAAUGUGGUAGUGAAAAUUGAGGAAGCACCUUUCAGCCCCUCAGAGAAAGAUCACCCUGAAUUCACUGUCUCAGUGAAGGAAGAACUUGUAGAAGAUGACUUCAUUCCAGAGCUGGGCACCUCAGAUCCACUUUCAUCCAGCCACUGCCUGAAGCCAUCUUCCUGUCUACUCGAUGCUUAUAGUGACUGUGGAUAUGAGGGCUCCCCUUCUCCCUUCAGCGACAUGUCCUCUCUGCUUGGUGUAGACCAUUCUUGGGAGGACACUUUUGCCAAUGAACUCUUUCCCCAGCUGAUUAGUGUCUAAGGAAUGAUUCAGUGCUGUUACCCUUUUCCUUGACCAUUAUACUGCCUGGAAGAUAGCAGAGAAGCCUGCGCUUCAUUUAAAAAAGCCAAAGUAGAGGGUGUACAGUCCUAGGGAAUUACUCUAAAGUAUUUGUUCAAACCGUAUAGGUCACCCCAAGUAUUGUCUUUUGUCAUCCAGCAGUCCAAGGUACUCAUAUAUUACUAUAAUCUAGAAUUCCAGCUUUUGAGGUUGUACUCUUAAGGGCAGUAGUUUGUCCUAAAAUUGUUAUGUAAGGGUCAUUGGACAAGCUUCUUAGACAUGGAAUUUGUGAGUGGCCCUUUAACAUUUCUUUUCCCUCUUCUUGGCAUCCCAGGCUUACCUCCAAUUUUAGGUCCUUUAGUUUGCUUCUGCAAGCAGAGAACACCUACCUGAGGGGGCUCCUUUCCUUCAUGUACAGUUCAAGUAAAGAUCAAGAAUCUUUUGUAAAACUAUGGAAAUUUACUAUGUAAAUGCUUGAUGGAAUCUUUCCCUGCUAGCGUAACUUUUGGAAGGUGCUUUCUCCAUUUAUUUAAGACUACCUGUGCAAUUAAAAAGUGCAAUGCA